GAUGAACGCUGGCGGCGUGCCUAAUACAUGCAAGUCGAGCGAAAAGACGAGGAGCUUGCUGCUCUGACGUUAGCGGCGGACGGGUGAGUAACACGUGGAUAACCUACCUGUAAGACUGGGAUAACCUCGGGAAACCGGAGCUAAUACCGUAUAAUAUAUUGAACCGCAUGGUUCAAUAGAGAAAGACGGUGUUGCUGUCACUUAUAGCUGGAUCUGCGCCGCAUGAGCUAGUUGGUAAGGUAAAGGCUUACGAAGGCAACGAUGCGUAGCCGACCUGAGAGGGUGGUCGGCCGCACUGGAGGUGAGACACGCUCCAUACUCCUGCGGUAGGCCGCAGUCGGCAAUCUGCCGCAAUGGGCGAGAGCUUGGCGGAACAGCGCCGCGUCAGUGGUGGCGAUCCUCGGAUCGUAAUACUCUGUUAUUAGGGGAGAACAAAUGUGUAAGUAGCUAUGCACGUCUUGACGGUACCUAGUCAGAAAGCCACGGCUAACUACGUG
rnacentral:rRNA from 1 species